GGAUGCGAUCAUACCAGCACUCAUGCACCGGAUCCCAUCAGAACUCCGAAGUUAAGCGGGCUUGGGCGAGACUAGUACUAGGAUGGGUGACCUCUUGGGAAGUCCUCAUGUUGCAUCCC
rnacentral:rRNA from 1 species